GACGAGGGGUCCUAGCGUUGUUCGGAAUUACUGGGCGUAAAGGGCGCGUAGGCGGCACAGCAAGUCGGGAGUGAAAGCCCCGGGGCUCAACCCCCGGAACGUCUUUCGAAAACUGCUGAGCUCGAGUGCGGAAGAGGCAACUGGAAUUCCCAGUGUAGCGGUGAAAAUGCGUAGAUAUCAGGAGGAACACCGGUGGCGAAGGCGGCUACCUGGACAGAAACUGACGCUGAGGCGCGAAAAGCUAGGGGGGAGCAAACAGG
rnacentral:rRNA from 1 species